UUCACUUGGUGACAUUUUGGAAAAUGUUGAAUCUAGGCAGCUUCGUCAUUUGCUAAGUUCUGGUGUGUAUUUGAUAUAUAUAUAUAUAUUAAAAUCUUGUUUUAAAGUAUGAUCUAGUGUAACCAUUUUAUCUUUUAUAGGUUAAUAGGUCCAUUAUCUAAAGAGGAUAAGGAGAUUGAGUCUAGCUUAGCAAAAUACCUCAAAGAACAGCGCAAAUUACUUGGAGACACAUCAAAUAUUGUGGGUUCACAUUCACGAAGCAUUGAAAAUCUCUCUAUCAAAAUGAAACAAAAUGGAAAUUUUGGAAAAGGCAAGCAAGGCAGCAUUUUUGUGAGACACUGAGAAAUGAAGUUGGUUCAAUCAUUGGCAUAACAAUUGUCACACCUGGGCUCAUUGG